rnacentral:rRNA from 1 species
AUACCCUAUUAUUUUUAGUGUAAAAAGGUUAAGCCGGAGUACUAUUAGUUAUGGUCUUGAAACUUAAAGAAUUUGGCGGUAUUAUAGUCUAUUUAGAGGAAUUUGUUAUGUAAUCGAUAGUCCACGCUAAACCUUACUUAUAUUAGUUCUUGUAUAUCGCUGUUUAGUGAAUAUAUUUUAAGAUGAUUUUCUUGAUAAAAAAUUAAUUAAAAUUUCAAGUCAAGGUGCAGUUAUAUAUAAGAUGAAUAAUGGAUUACAAUAAAUUUUAUUUAAUACGGAUGGUUGUUGGAAUAAUAAUUUGAAGGUGGAUUUAAUUGUAAUUUUUUACAGAUUAUGUUGAUGAUUUAGAGCUCUAUAUUAUGUACACAUCGCCU